rnacentral:rRNA from 1 species
GCAUAUCAAUAAGCGGAGGAAAAGAAACCAACCGGGAUUGCCUCAGUAACGGCGAGUGAAGCGGCAAGAGCUCAAAUUUGAAAGCUGGCCCCUUCGGGGUCCGCGUUGUAAUUUGCAGAGGAUGCUUCGGGUGCGGCCCCUGUCUAAGUGCCCUGGAACGGGCCGUCAGAGAGGGUGAGAAUCCCGUCUUGGGCAGGGUGCCCGUGCCCGUGUGAAGCUCCUUCGACGAGUCGAGUUGUUUGGGAAUGCAGCUCUAAAUGGGUGGUAAAUUUCAUCUAAAGCUAAAUACCGGCCGGAGACCGAUAGCGCACAAGUAGAGUGAUCGAAAGAUGAAAAGCACUUUGAAAAGAGAGUUAAACAGCACGUGAAAUUGUUGAAAGGGAAGCGCUUGCGACCAGACUCGGCCCCGGGGUUCAGCCAGCACUCGUGCUGGUGUACUUCCCCGGGGGCGGGCCAGCGUCGGUUUGGGCGGCCGGUCAAAGGCCCCAGGAAUGUAUCGCCCUCCGGGGUUGUCUUAUAGCCUGGGGUGCAAUGCGGCCAGCCCGGACCGAGGAACGCGCUUCGGCACGGACGCUGGCGUAAUGGUCGCAAACGACCCGUCUUGAAACACGGACCAAGGAGUCUAACAUCUACGCGAGUGUUCGGGUGUCAAACCCGUACGCGCAGUGAAAGCGAACGGAGGUGGGAGCCCCCCCGGGGCGCACCAUCGACCGAUCCUGAUGUCUUCGGAUGGAUUUGAGUAAGAGCGUAGCUGUGGGGACCCGAAAGAUGGUGAACUAUGCCUGAAUAGGGCGAAGCCAGAGGAAACUCUGGUGGAGGCUCGCAGCGGUUCUGACGUGCAAAUCGAUCGUCAAAUUUGGGUAUAGGGGCGAAAGACUAAUCGAACCAUCUGGUAGCUGGUUCCUGCCGAAGUU